UACGUAGGGGGCUAGCGUUGUCCGGAAUCAUUGGGCGUAAAGCGCGUGUAGGCGGUCCGGUAAGUCCGCUGUGAAAGUCGGGGGCUCAACCCUCGAAUGCCGGUGGAUACUGUCGGGCUAGAGUGCGGAAGAGGCGAGUGGAAUUCCUGGUGUAGCGAUGAAAUGCGCAGAUAUCAGGAGGAACACCUAUUGCGAAGGCAGCUCGCUGGGACGUAACUGACGCUGAGACGCGAAAGCGUGGGGAGCAAACAGG
rnacentral:rRNA from 1 species